GGCUUUUUUACUUAGUAUCCUUUUCUAAAACACAGCGGUUAUUUCCAUUUAAAAAAAGUCCAGUUCGAAUUAUGAAUUAAACUGUUGCUCACACUUCUCAUAACAAUAAAGGUGUCCUCGUAGAAAUCUUCGUAGUAAAUAAUUUACAACAAAAACUCGAGCAUUUGUAAACAAAGAAUUCUACCGCACUAGUGAUUUAAAGACUAGGAAUUUAUGAUGUUCUAGACUCGAAAUCACUUUCACAAAGAAAACAUAUGGAACUGUUUUUCGUGUUACUAUAGUAUCAGCUGUUUACAUGGUUUCAGAUGCGCCUCAAAAGAUUUCCAUACGCUCUUCUAAACGCUCUGAAAUAAAA